GACGAACGCUGGCGGCGUGCUUAACACAUGCAAGUCGAACGGUGAUGCGCCUUCCUUUUUGGUGGGUGUGGAUGAGUGGCGAACGGGUGAGUAACACGUGAGUAACCUGCCCCCUUCUUCUGGAUAACCGCAUGAAAGUGUGGCUAAUACGGGAUAUUCUGGGUCUGUCGCAUGAUGGGUCUGGGAAAGAUAUUGUUUCGGUGGGGGAUGGGCUCGCGGCCUAUCAGCUUGUUGGUGGGGUGAUGGCCUACCAAGGCGGUGACGGGUAGCCGGCCUGAGAGGGUGGACGGUCACACUGGGACUGAGACACGGCCCAGACUCCUACGGGAGGCAGCAGUGGGGAAUAGUGCACAAUGGGCGCAAGCCUGAUGCAGCGACGCCGCGUGAGGGAUGGAGGCCUUCGGGUUGUGAACCUCUUUCGCCAGUGAAGCAGGCCUGCCUCGUUUGUGGGUGGGUUGACGGUAGCUGGAGAAGAAGCGCCGGCUAACUACGUG
rnacentral:rRNA from 1 species